UCAAUACCUUAGGAGGGUAAUUGUGCUUUAAAACCAGAAAAUUAGGUGAAUGAAAGUAAUCGACCUGCAACUAAUGAAGCUUCAGGAGCCUGGACCUCUUUGUUUAAUGUAAAUUGCACAAGCAGUGGUAGCAGCUCUGGAAGUAUCAAUAGUUCUGCGAAAAAGGAGGAUGUGGAUAUUGAUUGCUUGGACUAUGAAGUCUUAUGGGAAGACAUGAUAAUUGGAGAGAGGAUUGGGCAAGGUUCAUGUGGAACUGUAUACCAUGGUCUGUGGGAUGGAUCAGUUCAAAGUUUGUUAGUACUGAUGGCAGUACAGGCAGCAAGGUCUCAUCAUUUUCAACAAGUCUUGUAGGAUGGUACUUUCAUUUUGGCAUUUGCUUCUGGCAAAUCUAAGUUUAGCAUUUUCAUGUAAACUGUAAUUACUCUUCAGUUCAUGAUUGACAUAUAAUGUGUGUUCAGACUUUACACUUUAGAAAUUUUUUGGGUAUAUGUAUGGAUAUGAUAUUCUGGUUAAGUUAAUGCAUUUGGUGGUGUAUUUUG